rnacentral:rRNA from 1 species
GAUGAACGCUAGCGACAGGCUUAACACAUGCAAGUCGAGGGGCAGCACAGGUAGCAAUACCGGGUGGCGACCGGCGCACGGGUGAGUAACGCGUAUGCAACUUGCCUAUCAGAGGGGGAUAACCCGGCGAAAGUCGGACUAAUACCGCAUGAAGCAGGGGCCCCGCAUGGGGAUAUUUGCUAAAGAUUCAUCGCUGAUAGAUAGGCAUGCGUUCCAUUAGGCAGUUGGCGGGGUAACGGCCCACCAAACCGACGAUGGAUAGGGGUUCUGAGAGGAAGGUCCCCCACAUUGGUACUGAGACACGGACCAAACUCCUACGGGAGGCAGCAGUGAGGAAUAUUGGUCAAUGGCCGAGAGGCUGAACCAGCCAAGUCGCGUGAGGGAUGAAGGUUCUAUGGAUCGUAAACCU